CUAAGUUUCAUUCUCGCUCCAUUAAUUCAUGCUCCAUUUUCGAUCUUUGUCUUUUAUAUUUUUUUUUCUCAUCGAAGCUUCACAACUUUACUCACUGUUUCCCAUCUUAAAACCCUAAAUUUUGUUAUCAUGUUGUAUUUCCCAAAAAUAUUUAUGGAGAGUUAGUUCUUAAGGAGAACUAAUGUAUUUUUUAAUUCUCAAGAGAAAUUAGAUUUGAUUGAAGAUACAAAUUGAUAAAAUGCACCGUCAACACUAUAUCUAUUAUGAUACAACUUGUGUUCAUGGUGCUUCUUGGAUGUAGCUGAAACCAUUAAUAGACAAAAAUCUCUUUUCAACUCAAUAGGGAAUGAUCUUCGUUUAGUCUCUGUUAUGUUAGAGUGUCGUUGUUGUCUCUGGUGUUUAUGCAGUGGUCCUGUGCUUCAUAGGUUGCUUGUCUACUGCUCUACUUCUUUUGAAUUUGUUUUCUCUUUUAUGUCACAGUAUGCGUUGCUGUGGUUUUUCAAUGUUAUAUGUUGGUCUGUCUUUAAAGUAGCAAAAUGUACUAGAGAUAGAGAUACCUAUUGAAGAACUGUUUAUUUUUUAGAAUUAUAUAAAUUGUUGGAUUUAAUCAUUUAUUUUUUUGAUGUGAUGAACAUUAGGUUUUUAAUUCCGUUUAAUAUUGAGUUUAUUUGAUGUGUAGAUUAAAUGUGCUACUUUGUGGUGACAACCACUUUUGAAUGAUGUGAAUUCUGGUGACACUUCACCUUUUGAUAUCAAUGAAUUCUGCUGGUGGGCCUCAAGGACAGUUGGGUAUGUGAAGGAAAAUAUUGUUCUGCUUGAUACAUUGCUCACCUUCCACAAAAAAAGAAUAACGUAAACUAUAAAUUUCAGGUUCUUUACGAAAACAGGGUCUUGGAGUUAGUCCCAUUGUCCAACAAAACCAAGAGCCUUAACCAAUUUUCUGCCAUCUUUCCCUUAAUUGAUGCCAUAAUAUUAUUUGUACUGUCUUUUGUUUUUUGUCUUUCUUGUAUGACCACAUCCAUUUUUAAUAUUCUCAUUUCUUGGACCCAUCUUUUUCUUUGCUCCUUAGAGUCCAAAUUUAUUAUCAGAGUAUAGGUAGAGGAAUUGUGAAUUCUUGUAUAAUGAAAUUUAUGCUGCUUCUUGUUGAAGUGCUUCUGGAUGUUUGCAUGUACAUUUACUAUUUAUGUGUAGCAUCAUUAGGGUUUUGCACGAGGUUCUUU
rnacentral:lncRNA from 1 species